rnacentral:lncRNA from 1 species
AGAAAUUGGCUUCCAGUAAAUUUAAAAGAUGUAAUCAUGGCUUUACUUUGCAAACCGUAAAACAGGAGACCACAAGAAGGAAUUGCUUCAUGUGUUGCAUAGCAAUUGUAAGGCACCUAAGGUUACCACAGUCCACCUUUCAGGAUGAACAAGUCUUAAGGCUUCUUCUUAUAGGUUGGACAGAUCCUGCUAGCCCUCUUCUCCUGGAACCCAGUGCUUUCCCUUCACUUUCAGACAGCAAAGGGCUCGAAACCUGGGAGAAAAAUUUAGUCCCCAAAAUCCCAGCCACAUGUUUCAGAACUCAUUACUCCCUCUAGAUGCAGGCACGAUCCAGACUUCAUAGGUUACAGAAAGCCAAAGUUGGCUCUCCCUAGAUUCAGCUUAAACAGGUCCUUUUAACUUUGCCAGAUGCUUGAAAACUUACUUAGCCUUGAAUACU